rnacentral:lncRNA from 1 species
GCACCCAAUACCUCGUCGAGUCCAAAGCUCCUGCUCAAGCAGUUCAAUCCAAUUGAAUUGAGUACCUACGACUGUGGAAUGCUUCUUAUAUGUUAUUUUAUUAUAAGAGGAACUCAAAGUAAAAACUAGACUUUGUCUUGCACACUGACUUCAAUCGUAUAGAGAUUUCCCACUGUCUGUGUCGAUACCAGAAACUACGAC